CGUCAUAUGUGACUCUUCCCCGCCAGCUAAAGGUGUGUUUGGAGUAUUUUAAUGUGGAUUCCAGCUUAUUGUAGCGAGGACGGUGGUGAUUGUGACCAGUAAAGCUGUUCAUGAGGAGACUAUUCUGAUGUCUCUGUCUUGUCUGUCUUCGUCUCAGACAAACACAACCAAUGUGAAUAGAUUCAGGCUGAUGCUGUUUGGUGUGGGUGGGUCGGAACAUUAACCACGGAGGCUCACAGAAGCUCGCUCCCCUUUGUAUAACGGAUCCAUGUCGUUGACGUAGAUCAGCACGGAGGAAACUUCUGGUGUCGUGGAUCUGGAACAACGUGUCUUGGAACACUUCAGGACAUGUGCAACGCGACUUCUUCACAGGCUGCAGCCUCGCAGCGACACAUUUGGAUAAAACAAGGAUAUUGUUUUCUUACGGCCAUCGCGUGACGUAAACCAGACACGAACAAAACACAGUUAAGAGAAUACAUUAAAAGACCGAACCGACCAGGUUGCGAACCCAUGCAGCAAAACGCAUCGAGCGAUUCAUGUCUUAAUAUAUUAAUACAAGGUGGUCGGCACGGAGGAAACCUUCUGGUGUCGUGGAUGUGAAACAACUGGUCGCCGUGGGCGGGUCCUGGAACACAUCCAAAGACAUGUGUCGAUUCUUAAUGGUCCCCCAAUUAACGUGAACAAGCAGCGUCCCUGUGAAAACGCCAUGAGGUCGCGUACGAUCCUUCCAACCGGAGAUGGACCCACAGAAGGUGAAGGAAUUGAAGGACUACUAGCAGAGCAACGCUUUUCCUGCACAUUUCAGCAAGAAUGAGCGAUAUGUUCUCAAACUUGUGCAGAGAGUUACCAACUGAUAAGCAACUACUCAAAGUUAAACUUUGUAGUUUGGCUUUCUUGACGGAAUUGUACUUUCUUGAUUCUUCUGCUGCGUCCGUACCCCCUGGGUUGAAUGCACUUAUUACGGUGACCUGUAUUAUCAGUGCCGCAGGAAGCGAGAUGAGCAGCGGCAUCAUCUUGCCAAGCGUGUGUUGACCCCACAAGAAGCCAAUGCCAUAUUCAUGGAGUUUCAUGACCGUGACAUUGGAGCUCACUGUGGGGUCGACAAGACCAUGGAUGCAAUUCAGCAACGGUUCUACUGGCAUGACGGCCGACAUGGAGAAAUGGAUUGACCAGAGUGAUGCCUGCCAAAAGAAGAGGACCUCUAUAAAGGAGAACGUGCUAUACAAACCUAUAGAGGUGACUCAACCGUUUGAAUUAGUUG